rnacentral:rRNA from 1 species
UAGGGAAUCUUCGGCAAUGGGGGCAACCCUGACCGAGCAACGCCGCGUGAGUGAAGAAGGUUUUCGGAUCGUAAAGCUCUGUUGUAAGAGAAGAACGUGUGUGAGAGUGGAAAGUUCACACAGUGACGGUAACUUACCAGAAAGGGACGGCUAACUACGUGCCAGCAGCCGCGGUUAUACGUAGGUCCCGAGCGUUGUCCGGAUUUAUUGGGCGUAAAGCGAGCGCAGGCGGUUUAAUAAGUCUGAAGUUAAAGGCAGUGGCUUAACCAUUGUUCGCUUUGGAAACUGUUAAACUUGAGUGCAGAAGGGGAGAGUGGAAUUCCAUGUGUAGCGGUGAAAUGCGUAGAUAUAUGGAGGAACACCGGUGGCGAAAGCGGCUCUCUGGUCUGUAACUGACGCUGAGGCUCGAAAGCGGGGGGAGCAAACAGG